ACAUUCUCUGUUAUUUAAAAAUUAGAAGGUAGAGGCUAACGCAGAGGAUAAAGGAACUCUCCAUUAAAACCCAGAGAGGAAAACUACACCUCCUUUCUGGAUCCUGUCUGGAGUCACAAAU